AGACGGCCGCUGGCAGAAAUGUUAGAGGAAAGUCCAUGCUCGCACUGUCUGCGAUGACAGUAGUGAUUGUGCUAAGCGAAAAAAUAAGCUUAGGUAGUGCAAACUAACGGCUGGUUAAUAAACCUAAGGGCAACUAUGGUUUAACCUGUAAAAGUGUCAAAGAGACGAGCCUGUAUGAAAAUACAGGAGUGGAACGUGAUAAACCCCGCAAGCGAGAAACUCAAAUUUGGUAGAGGAACCCCAAAAGCGAAAUGAAGUAAUACGGGUCACAUUUGUGAAGAUAAAUGACCGUCACCUCAAAAGGGUACAAAACAUGGCUUAUU
rnacentral:RNase_P_RNA from 1 species